CAGUUAUGUCCUUUCAGAAACAAAGUGUCUUCUGAAAAUACAAAAGGCUCAAAUUAUCCUUUGCACUAAAAAUCGUUUGAAUGCCACUCAGAGAAAGUUUCUAACAGUUGCUAAAAAGAAAAAGGUCAGGGUAUCUCUCAGCAUUCAAAUAAAAUGGUAUAUAGUUUAUAUAUUUCUUCAGGUACUUAUUUUCAAAUCUAAUAACAACUCACACUUUUGUAGGUGAGGUAGCAGCAGUCUCAGCACAUAUGAAGCAGAAUUUCCAACAGUUCCAACCAGUAGCGGAAUCGGUCCCUUGUGAUGUAGCAAGCUCCCUGUUCCUGUGACCUUCUAGUCAGGGCUCUCUGUUACAAAUGUCGCAGAAGGAUGCCCGCUCAUGAUGGGGGGGUGGGUCCCCGAGUGACAGCAGGGUCCUGGGCUGGGGAUCCGUUGCAGAGGAGCCCAACGGCUUGAUGAGGUCUCUGAUAAGCAAGUUUAUGCCACCCUCCAUCUGGCCAUCUGUCCUGGCCAUUCGGGCUCACUUUGAAGCUCUUUCCUUGUUUUUAGGACACCUCUGUUUGCAGUGAGGACAUUGUAAUUCCCACAGUGAGAUUUCUAAUCUGCAGGAUUGCUCAGCUGGGAAGUUCUCUUUGAGUGUCUUAGAGGUCAUGCUUCUGUGUUCCUGGCAGGACUGUCAGGGACCUAUGUCAUCUUUACUUUAGAGUUUGAUCUUCAUCGUUCAGAAAGGAACAGCAGCUUUUUAAAAACUGACUUCAUGUUUAUUACUUUGAAAAUUGUGUGUGGUUUUUUAAUAAUGGGAUUAUAAAAUGUUCUUUGCAAAACAUUCAGAAUAAUAUGAGAAGAAAAACACCUGAAAUCGUGCACAUACCAGCAUUUUUCUUUUGCCGCAUGUGUGGCAUAUGAAAGCAGGCUAGGGGUCAAAUUGGUGCUGCAGCUGCCAGCCUGCACCACAGCCACAGCAACGUGGGGUCUGAGCCACAUCUACAAUCUACACCGAAGCUCAUGGCAAUGCUGGAUCCUUAACCCACUGAGCAAGACCAGGGAUCAAACCCCAUCUUCUCAUGGAUACUAGUCAGGUUCGUUACUGCUGAGCCAUGAUGGGAACCUCCUAAAGACACUUUUUUUUUUUUGUUUGUUUUUGCUAUUUCUUGGGCCGCUCCCACGGCAUAUGGAGGUUCCCAGGCUAGGGGUCAAAUCGGAGCUGUAGCCGCUGGCCUACACCACAGCCACGGCAACGCCGGAUCACUAACCCACUGAGCAAGGGCAGGGACUGAACCUGCAACCUCAUGGUUCCUAGUCAGAUUCGUUAAUCACUGCGCCAUGACGGGAACUCCUAAAGACACUUUUUAAAAAACUGAACUUGUCCUCUAGAUAACAUAGUGUUUUGUAAAACUUUUCCACUCAGUAUGCACAAGUUUGAUGUCACCUGUUAUAUAUCAAUAUCAUUUUAAAGGCUGCAUGAUAUAUGAGUAUAUGUGGUUGAUAUCAUUGAUGGUCAUUUCGGUUUGCUAGUUCUUCACCAGACAUUCUGAUGGACGAUCUUAUACUUGACUUUGUAUGAGGCCUCUUGUAUUUUAUUUUCUCACUUAGGAUACAUUUCUAGAAGGGGGAGUGUUGAGUCAAAGGGUUACCCCAGUGUUGAUCUGCCCUGCCAGAUUGCCCUCCCCCCAAAGUGUAUCUGCUAAUACUCUAUUCACAGUAAUUGAGAGAAUAACAAUGUCAGCGUGGCAAGGUCAAACCAUGAAAUGCUCUACAACACAGCUUAAAGAAACACGAUUUUAAACUUGGGCUUAACCUUGAAAGAAUUGAACGUAGUUUUGAGUAACACCAUUUUCUUCUGAAUAAAUAGGCCUGUCCUAGGAUAACUGCUGUUGGUUGGGGACAGGCUGUGACAUGUUCUGUGCAGCCAUCUGUGACAGCGUGGGAGCCUCACAGCAGCCUCAUGCCAGUUUCACAUUAUCCAAGACCAGCCAAAUAUUUAGGCAUUUACUGAGACUCCAGAAUGUUUUAUUAACACCGAUGAUGAACUAUCUUAAUCAUUUCAAGCUUUGCUCUGUUUAUUUUUGAGCCUUCUUGGUACCUUCACUGAACAAAUAGCAACAAGUUAGCAUCAGCCAGCGCUGAAAACAUCUCUAGGGCCUGGUCCUCUUUUGCUUUAGCAGUCUGUGUUAAAGGGAGCUAUCCCCCUGCUCAGGGAGCCUCCCCACCAAAGACGGUGGAGGGGGGCAGUUAGAGAUAAAGCCCUCUCUCUCAUUGUUUUACAAAACCUGUACUGCAUGCAUAUGCUUUCUCUCCAAACUUGCGCAGGGUUUUGAAAGGGUGGUGUCAGCGCAGGUGGCAGGUCACUCCAAAGAGAUUGAGGAAAAGACUUGUCCUAAGUGGGCAGGCCUAUCUGCAGGCUCUUUAUUUAUUUAUUUUAUUUCUCAUUUUUGGUCGCCCCGAGGCAUAUGGAGUUCCUGGGCCAGGGAUCAGAUCCGAGCCGCAGUCACAACCUAAGCCACAGCUGUGGCAGCACCGGAUCCUUAAGUCAUUGUGCCAGGCCCAAGGGUCGAACCUGUGCCCCUGCACUCCCAAGAUUCUGCCGAUCCUGUUGCACCACAGCGGGAACUCCUGCAGGAUCUUUUUAGCUGAGAUGUGUGUGUUCUGCAGCCUGGGCCACUUGGAGAGAAAGCUGUGCAGCUGGAGAGAGCUACCUUCUGUGCUGCUCACCCGCCUCUGGAGAUGCCUUUAACCCAGGCAUCUCUGGCUUCCAGCGUUCAGUGCCCUCAGGUGUCUAGAGGUGGGCCCAGAUAAAGCCUUCCUGGGACCUUCCUGGUCCUGCUGCCCAGGGACCCUGCCUUCCUCACGUCUUGGAUAACAGUAAGUCCUCAGAGAUGGCAACAGUUGGAGAAUCAAGGUAGGCCUGCGAGGGAGCCUUUUGAGGUGCCUCAAAGCCAAAAGGCAAAGAUGAUAUUUCUUCCACAUACACAGAGGAUCAGCAUGGAGAGAGUAGGGGUCUUGAAGUUAGAUCCACAAGGUUUCAAAUCCCAGCUCCAAAUUCAUCAGGUUUGUUAACUCUGGCAUGUUCCCAUCAAAGCUUUCAGCCUGUUUCGUAAGUUGGUGGUUCAAAUAAUGCGAUAUGUUGCAAAGAGCCUAGCAGCGUGCUUGCCGCACAGAUGCCUGUUAAAUCCUAGCUCGCGCUCUAUUCUGUUCCCUUUUCCCCCUGGAGUGUCCCGAGGAACAUGGAUUUCGUUGCCAAUCCCCCUUUACCCAGAUCUCCCUGUACAGAGUGUCUUCCUCUCUGAAAUUGAUCUCAAAUUCCUCACCAUUCUGUGAGGACCCAGAACACUGGCCUGCCUUGAUUUCAUGAGUGCCCUUGGGGCCACUGCAGAGGCAGUUAUGACCUCCUCCAGUCCCCAGACCCAAAGUCUGCUUCCUCAGUAGCCCUCAGGGAAGGGGCUGGACAGGACGGAAACAUGUUGAGAAUGAAGCACUUCUACUAGAACUGGAAAGCGUUUUGCUUUGGAAAUGUCACCAAUCCCCUGACACCCUCAGCUGAGAGUAACCAUAUUUAAAAGCCAAGAAAGGAGUUCCCUGGUGCCUCAGCAGGUUAAGGACCUGCUGUAGUCACUUCUAUGGCUCAGGUUCAAUCCCUGGCCUGGGAACUUCCACCUGCCAUGGAUGUGGCCAAAAUAAAAGCAGAGAAAUGUCCAUUCUAUUUUUUACACUUGUUGUUAGGCUGUUUUUGCUGUCCUGUAGAGCACAGAGCUGUACGCCGUAGGUACAGCC
ensembl:lncRNA